AUGGAAGGAAUCGUCUGGCUGCGAGAACUCAGAGAACAUCCUGUCCUGCCUGCCCCUGGAGAGACCGGGAGCAAAGCUCAAGUUUACCCAGUGCUGCUGAAGAGAGCGGGGAGUCGGCUUCCUGCUGGGCUCAGAGACUCCUGCAUGACUGUCUCCAGAACCUGCCCCAGCCCCAGCUUGCCCUGCCUGGUACCCGUCCUCACAGUGGCACUUGCUGUUCCUACGGCAACACUCCUCUGCCCUCGCCCUCUCCCAGCUCACCUCCAUCCCUGUGACCUCAUGGCAAGGCGACUUCUCAGGCAUCCAGACCAGAUAUGGAGGGCUUUGCAGUCCCUCUGCAAGCAGGGUGGUUAGGAGCACAAGCUUUGGAAUCAACAGACCUGAACACUUGCUGUUUAGUCAAGCCAUUAACCUUGCAGGGCCUCAGUUUCCUCAUCUGAAAAUGGGGUGAGUAAUGAUACCUAUCUCACAGGGUGUUUUCUAGGAAUUCGUGAGAAAAUAUUUGUAAGGAACACAUAGUUCCUAGUCCACAGAAAGAGGUAGCUUAUAAUGCUAUUGGUACUUCUGUUUCUAAGUAUUAGGUUCCCAAGCCCACCUCAACAUCCUAGUUUCUCUAAUGCCGUAUCAAGUCAAAGAAUCUUACAAAUGGAAGAGACAAGAAGUCACCUAAGAUAAGUACUGUUUCUUUAUGUAGUUUUCAUUCAUCUCUCUCUCUCUAAGGAUGAAAUAAUAGCAGUAUUUGGCACAUGCCUGGGAUAUAGUAAAUGCUUAGUAAAUGUUAGGGUUUGUGAUAGUGUUACAUGUCAACUUGACUGGAUCAUAUGAUGCCCAGACAUCUGGUUAAAUGUUAUUUCUGGUGUGUCUAUGAGAGUGUUUCUAGAAGAGACUAGCAUUUGAAUGCGUCAACUGAGUAAAUGGAAUUGCCCUCCCCGGGGUGGGUGAGCAUCCUUCAAAUGAUUAUAAUGGCUUUAAUAUUGGCAAAUCCUGGGCCUCAAAUGUUGGGGUAGGGUGUUUGGGAAAUAGCCAAAUGCCAUUCAAACCCAAGUCAGGUGGAAAAUGUAAUCUCUAGCUGCAUUAAAAUGGAUCCAGAAUGAGGACUGACGGGGCGCCUGGGUGGCACAGCGGUUGGGCGUCUGCCUUCGGCUCAGGGCAUGAUCCCGGCGUUAUGGGAUCGAGCCCCACAUCAGGCUCUUCCGCUAUGAGCCUGCUUCUUCCUCUCCCACUCCCCCUGCUUGUG
rnacentral:lncRNA from 1 species